rnacentral:rRNA from 1 species
CACGUAGUUAGCCGGUGCUUAUUCUUACGGUACCGUCAUGGACCCCCUUUAUUAGAAGGAGUCUUUUCGUUCCGUACAAAAGCAGUUUACAACCCGAAGGCCUUCAUCCUGCACGCGGCAUGGCUGGAUCAGGCUUGCGCCCAUUGUCCAAAAUUCCCCACUGCUGCCUCCCGUAGGAGUCUGGGCCGUGUCUCAGUCCCAGUGUGGCUGGUCGUCCUCUCAGACCAGCUACAGAUCGUCGGCUUGGUAAGCUUUUAUCCCACCAACUACCUAAUCUGCCAUCGGCCGCUCCGUGAGCGCAAGGCCUUGCGGUCCCCUGCUUUCAUCCUGAGAUCGUAUGCGGUAUUAGCAAAGCUUUCGCUUCGUUAUCCCCCACUCUCGGGCACGUUCCGAUGUAUUACUCACCCGUUCGCCACUCGUCAGCAUCCGAAGACCUGUUACCGUUCGACUUGCAUGUGUAAGGCAUGCCGCCAGCGUUCAAUCUGAGCCAGGAUCAAACU